rnacentral:rRNA from 1 species
AUUGAACGCUGGCGGCAUGCCUUACACAUGCAAGUCGAACGGCAGCACGGGUGCUUGCACCUGGUGGCGAGUGGCGAACGGGUGGGUAAUACAUCGGAACGUACCUUAUCGUGGGGGAUAACGCAGCGAAAGCUGUGCUAAUACCGCAUACGCCCUGAGGGGGAAAGCGGGGGAUCGAAAGACCUCGCGCGAUUAGAGCGGCCGAUGCCUGAUUAGCUUGUUGGUGGGGUAAAAGCCCACCAAGGCGACGAUCAGUAGCCGGUCUGAGAGGACGAUCAGCCACACGGGGACUGAGACACGGCCCAGACUCCUACGGGAGGCAGCAGUGGGGAAUUUUGGACAAUGGGGGCAACCCUGAUCCAGCAAUGCCGCGUGAGUGAAGAAGGCCUUCGGGUUGUAAAGCUCUUUUGUCAGGGAAGAAACACCGGCUCUAACACAGUCCGGGAAUGACGGUACCUGAAGAAUAAGCACCGGCUAACUACGUGCCAGCCGCCGCCGUAA